UAUUUAUAUUCAGAGUGCCUUUUGGCAAGAUCUUUUCAUAACCUAAAUUAUUAUUUCCGUACUGAAUGGAAUAUAUUUUGAAAUGAAAAUUAAUUCAGUUUUUGUCAAAUCAAGUCUCUUAAAGCCAUGUAUCACUCUCAUUUUAUUUUUAACCUGACAACAUUGAAUUGAUUAGAUAUAAUAUUUUUCACGUGAUGAAAAUGCUGUUGAACGUGCAAAUUAUCUACAAACAUUCUGCAUUCAUUUUUGGAAUAUUAUUUCAAUUUGUUUCAACCAAACACAAAGACUUAGAAAGUGGUAUGACGUUUCUUGUCAUUUGCAUGGUAACUACAAAAAAUGAUAAAUAGUAGACCGACAGUAUUCUUUCAGAAACAAACGUCUUCAACAUGUGGACUUCACUUAGAAAAAAAUUUGUUUCACAUUUUAUAUGCAGAAGAGAAACUGCAGGAAACAUUUUGAACAAACUUGAAGUGAGUGAGCAUCUGCCCAAAAAUUAUGGUUGAACCUCUAUCUAAUAUUUUUUAAAACAGUCAAAGAGCAAACCUUUUAUUUGGAAACACCUUAUGUUUCCAUCACUCAAAACCUUUUCUUUUUUUCCUUAUAUCAGGCAGCAAAAGGCAAACUUUUCAUUUGCAAACAACUGAACAUUUUCCAUAACUCAAAACAUACUCAGGCUAGGUUUUGGGUAAAUAACUGGCAAAAAGUGGGAGGAUAGUUAUAUACUUAUCCACCCCACCCAAAAUAGCGAGGGCUGUCCGCCCAUCUGCCCCAUGAUAACACCUUUGCAUUUCAGAUUUAUAGAAACUGAUUUCCACAAAAUCCUUAUAAUCUCUCGCAAUGAAAAAAUAUUAUAUUGCACUUUCAUCAAUUUGUGGUAUCAACAUUAAAACAAGCCAAACACAAACAUGAAAACGCAUAGUGCCAAAUAAAACACAUAAAUGUUUUUUUUUUGUGGAGUGGAAAGCUCAAUAAAAAGAUUGAAUUUCGGUCAGUUUUGAACGGUAAUGUUGUCAGGUUAAAAACAGAUCUUAUUGAAGUAUAAACUUACCUUGACUUACUUGUUGAAAAGACGAUGUUCAAAUGCCAUGUAAACCUAUUUUCUUAUAUUAUUAUUAUGGCUACUAUAUUACUACACUGUUACAAGGUGGAACUAUUUGAAAAUAAAGUUGAACUGAAGCAAUUAAUAUAAUU